rnacentral:lncRNA from 1 species
CUUUAAGUCCCUUGGCUUCUCCUGGAAGUUGUCCGUCUAGCUGAUCUUCUGGGGGAGGGGCCUGUUGUGCUGAUUUUCAGGUGUUAGCAGUUGGGGGAGCUGCUGUGCCCCUGCCUGGUGCAGGGCUCGGUGGGGGUUGUUUACCCCGUGAGGCCGCAGGAGGAACAGCCCCAGUGGCGGGGCAGCUCUGGAAACCUGGAUUCAGCUCCGGCAGGAACUCCGUCUGCAGGGCCUGGAGGCUCCGGGGCGGGGCCGCUGAUCUGCUCAGCUGGGGCAGGAGCGUCCUCGCUGUCCUGGGCCCUCCCGGCCUCUGCCUGUCCCGGGGGAGGCGGGAUCCUGGGCUGUGUCCCGGCGGCCUGUGCUCCGGAGCCUGCGCUGUUGGAUUCGCGCUCCCGGGCCGCGCAGCCCCCUCCGCGGAGCCGCCGCCCAAGUCCCUCCGAGCUGCUCCUGGAACCGCGCAGCCCCCUCUGCACGGAGCCUCUUCCUCUGCCCGAGCCCCUCCGCGCUGCUCCCGGGGCCGCGCAGCCCCCUCCGCGGAGCCGCCGCCCGAGCCCCUUCAGCUGCUCCGGGUCCCGCCGGGUCCCGCCGUGCGCGCUGCAGCCCUUAGGGAGGGAGCUCGGCGCACUCUCCUGGGCGCGCAGUUGCUGUUACUGUCCCAGGGAACCCGAGGGCAUCCCCGCCCUCCUGGGUCCUGCUCCACCUCCCCGCGAGCCCCUUUCCCCCGGGAAGGUCGGUGCAGCUCCUGCUCCUCCGGGACGGGGCUCUCCUGUCCUGGGGACACUCGCCCCGGCCUCAGCCCGGCUCCUCGCGGGCCCCUCCCCCUUGGAGGCCUUUGUUUCUUUAUUUCUUUUUCCCCGUCUUCCUACCUUGAUAGAAGCGCGAACUCUUCUCACUGUUGCAUUCCAGCUGGUCUCUCUUUAAAUCUCAGGCCGAAUUCAUAGAUUUUCAGGAUAAUUUGAAGGUUUUCUAGGUAGUUUGGUGGAGACAGGUGAUUUGGGGACCCUACUCUUCCGCCAUCUUGCUCCUCCCCCUUGAUAACAAGGGGUUUUGCCAAGAUAGUAGCAAUUUACG